rnacentral:tRNA from 1 species
ACCUGGCUGGCUCAGUCAGUGGAGCAUGGGACUCUUGAUCCCAGAGCUGGGAGUUUGAGCCCCGCGUUGGGUG